UACGGAGGGAGCUAGCGUUGUUCGGAAUUACUGGGCGUAAAGGAUGCGUAGGCGGAUGUUUAAGUGAGAUGUGAAAUACCCGAGCUCAACUUGGGUGCUGCAUUUCAAACUGGAUAUCUAGAGUGCAGGAGAGGAAAGCGGAAUUCCUAGUGUAGCGGUGAAAUGCGUAGAGAUUAGGAAGAACACCAGUGGCGAAGGCGGCUUUCUGGACUGUAACUGACGCUGAGGCAUGAAAGCGUGGGGAGCAAACAGG
rnacentral:rRNA from 1 species